rnacentral:lncRNA from 1 species
AAAGAGAAGUGUUGGCGCCAGGUCAGGCAACCUGUGCUGAGCAGGCAAGCACUGAUUGGUUGACCUAGGCCUUCCUUUUCGGGGAGAACUGGCAUAGAAAUUUAGUAAAGUUUUGUUUUGCUGAUGUGAGGCUUAGCAUGAGUGACUCCAUCUUGAGCCUAAUGUGGUUUCUUUAACACUGGGAAGCCAACAUCUUCAGGGGCAUCCACCCACACGUCCUCAACCCACGUAGCAGAGUCCCGCGUUACCCCAAAUAGCGCUCUGACCUUGACAUAAACUGCCUCAGCUGAGCGUUCCAUCAUCUUUGAAGGAAGAUUAGCCCUGAGCUAACAUCUGCUGCCAAUCCUCACCUUUUUUUCUGAGGAAGACUGGCCCUGAGCUAACAUUCGUGCUCAUCUUCCUCUACUUUAUAUGUGGGACGCCUGCCACAGCAUGGCUCAACAAGCAGUGCAUGGGUCUGCACCCAGGAUCCGAACUGCUGAACCCCGGGCUGCCGAAGCAGAACAUGUGAACUCCACUGCUGCACCAGCAGGUGGGAGUCAAGAGAGUGCACACAGAAUAUAAAGCCCCUUCUCAGGAACACAUUUGCUAGCUGCAGCUCUGCAGGACCCAGGGUCGCAAGGCAGUGGAAAAAGAGCAAGAACAGAAUAAUACAAUCGCUCUUAAAGCUUAUGCCCAGAUGUGGGAUAUGUCAUUGCUGCUCAAAUUCCACUGGCCAAUUCCUCUAGCAGCACUACCAUUCAAGAGUUUACAAAAUGGUCAUCUAUUGACGUGGUAUCCCAUACAGUAUUGCCUAAAAUCAAUGGACCCCUGUUAUUGCAAAGGAGUUGCACAUGACCAC